GACGAACGCUGGCGGCGUGCUUAACACAUGCAAGUCGAACGGAAAGGCCCUGCUUUUGUGGGGUGCUCGAGUGGCGAACGGGUGUGUAACACGUGAGUAACCUGCCCUUGACUUUGGGAUAACUUCAGGAAACUGUGGCUAAUACCGUAUAGGAGCUCCUGCUGCAUGGUGGGGGUUGGAAAGUUUCGGCGGUUGGGGAGGGACUCGCGGCCUAUCAGCUUGUUGGUGGGGUAGUGGCUUACCAAGGCUUUGACGGGUAGCCGGCCUGAGUGGGUGACCGGCCACAUUGGGCCGGAGAUACGCCCCAGACUCCUACGGGAGGAAGCAGUGGGGAAUGUUGCACAAUGGGCGGAGGCCUGAUGCAGCAACGCCGCGUGCGGGAUGACGGCCUUCGGGUUGUAACCCGCUUUCGCCUGUGACGAAGCGUGAGUGACGGUAAUGGGUAAAGAAGCACCGGCUAACUACGUG
rnacentral:rRNA from 1 species